CUUAACCAGGCGCUCCUCACGCUGCUGCCCAAGCGCGCGGAUGCUCGCUGUCUCGGAGACUACAGGCCGAUAAGCCUCAUCCACCUCGUCGCCAAGAUCUUCGCGAAGGUCCUCUCGCUGUGUCUCGCGCCCAAGCUUAAUGCCCUCGUCAGCGUGAACCAGAACGCGUUCAUCCCCGGACGCUCGUUGCAUGACAACUUCGUCCUCGUCCGGCAGUCCGCGCGCCUCCUCCAUCAGCUUAAGGCCCCCCGCUUGCUGCCGAAGCUCGACUUGGCACGGGCCUUCGACUCGAUCAGCUGGCCGUUCCUCUUCGAGGUAUUGCGCCAAUACGGAUUCGGGAACCGCUUCCUAGACUGGCUGGCCAUUCUGCUUUCGUCGGCCAGCACCAAGGUGCUCCUGAACGGCAAGCCUGGCCCGACCAUUUGGCAUCGUUGUGGGUUUCGACAGGCCGAUCCCCUCUCGCCCCAGCUAUUUGUCCUUGCGGUUGACACGCUUAGCCGUCUCCUUCGCCGAGCCACCGAGACGGGCAUCUUGCAGCAGCUUCACCCGCGGCGCCCGAUCUCGGCCGUCUCACUAUAUGCGGACGAUGUGAUCCUAUUUUGCCACCCCACCCAGGGCGACACCAUGGCAGUGAAAGGAGUCCUGCAGCUCUUCGGACGCGCGUCGGGCCUC
rnacentral:rRNA from 1 species